AUUGAACGCUGGCGGCAGGCCUAACACAUGCAAGUCGAGCGGAUGAAGGGAGCUUGCUCCUGGAUUCAGCGGCGGACGGGUGAGUAAUGCCUAGGAAUCUGCCUGGUAGUGGGGGAUAACGUCCGGAAACGGGCGCUAAUACCGCAUACGUCCUGAGGGAGAAAGUGGGGGAUCUUCGGGCCUCACGCUAUCAGAUGAGCCUAGGUCGGAUUAGCUAGUUGGUGGGGUAAAGGCCUACCAAGGCGACGAUCCGUAACUGGUCUGAGAGGAUGAUCAGUCACACUGGAACUGAGACACGGUCCAGACUCCUACGGGAGGCAGCAGUGGGGAAUAUUGGACAAUGGGCGAAAGCCUGAUCCAGCCAUGCCGCGUGUGCGAAGAAGGUCUUCGGAUUGUAAAGCACUUUAAGUUGGGAGGAAGGGCAGUAAGUUAAUACCUUGCUGUUUUGACGUUACCAACAGAAUAAGCACCGGCUAACUUCGUG
rnacentral:rRNA from 1 species